CAAAGAGGCAUUUGUAACGAGAAAACGCUGUCUACGCAGGAUACUCGGAACGACGAGGGGGUUGGUGACAAAGAAGACAGAGUCACGGCAGAAAAAGGGAAAGACGAAUGCCAACAAAAAACACGCACAUUACAGAAUGAAGGCAGUCUGGAGGUCUACUCAAAUCGAAGCCCUCGGCGCUAUAUACCACGACGACAAAAUCGUCGACGGUAGCGCCGACAAGGGCGAUGAGGACGACGGCGCAACAGCGAUGACGGCACGACGGCUCACACGUCACGAACUCGUUGGAUCACAAGUAUACAGUACAAGUUCCUGUCUCCCGCACGAAUAUGUUUAGCGAUUCUUUCAUCCCUAGGACAAGCUCCGACUGGAACCACCUUCCUGCCACCAUCGCUCUUAU
rnacentral:lncRNA from 1 species